rnacentral:rRNA from 1 species
UACGGGGGGGCAAGCGUUGUUCGGAAUUACUGGGCGUAAAGGGCGCGUAGGCGGCCUUCUAAGUCGGACGUGAAAUCCCUCGGCUUAACCGAGGAACUGCGUCCGAUACUGAAAGGCUUGAAUCCGGGAGAGGGAUGUGGAAUUCCAGGUGUAGCGGUGAAAUGCGUAGAUAUCUGGAGGAACACCGGUGGCGAAGGCGGCAUCCUGGACCGGCAUUGACG